CUGUCCUUUGUGACCAUGAAGAAGCGGGCCUGAUGUUUGUAAAGAGAGGCCGAGAGCAGAGAUACGUGAUACAGAGCCCCCCCCAGGCCUCAUUGUUGAUCACAAGUGGUUCUUUGUACCCCUCCCCUCACACAGACUCCUCCCCCACCUGAACCAGGUAGAAAGAUCUCUGCUCCCUUCACUGUAGACACACAAACACAGCAGCACAGCCUAUUUGACGAUGAGAUGUAAAUGUAUAUCUAUGUGUAGAGAGAGGGUCGUAUAUAUGGAAAUGGGUGUCUUCCUCGUAGGAAAACGCUUUAUAAAUUCUCUAUCUACUCCCACCUACUUAAACAGAAGCUGUGAUUAUGUGGACCAUAACAUGUAAUACAGCUUCACAUUAAAAGCCUCUUGGUGUAGUCUGGGUCUAGUGGGGUAAUACAGCUUCACAUUAAAAGCCUCUUGGUGUAGUCUGGGUCUAGUGGGGUAAUACAGCUUCACAUUAAAAGCCUCUUGGUGUAGUCUGGGUCUAGUGGGGUAAUACAGCUUCACAUUAAAAGCCUCUUGGUGUAGUCUGGGUCUAGUGGGGUAAUACAACUUCACAUUAAAAGCCUCUGAUAGGGCCGCUCUCCCUCAGGGUGACGGAGGUCUCUGAUUGGCCCCUCAGGGUGAAGGAGGUCUUGAUUGGCCCCUCAGGGUGGAGGAGGUCUCUGAUUGGCCCCUCAGGGUGACAGAGGUCUCUGAUUGGCCCUUCAGGGGGACAGAGGUCUUGAUUGGCCCCUCAGGGUGACGGAGGUCUCUGAUUGGCCCCUCAGGGUGACGGAGGUCUUGAUUGGCCCCUCAGGGUGACGGAGGUCUCUGAUUGGCCCCUCAGGGUGACGGAGGUCAUUGAUUGGCCCCUCAGGGUGACGGAGGUCUUGAUUGGCCCCUCAGGGUGACGGAGGAGACCCCAGAAACCCCGACCAGGACAGCCUCGUAAUUACGUGUGUGUGUAUGUAUGUGUGUGACUGUGUGUAUGUAUGUGUGUGUAUGUAUGUGUGUGUGACUGUGUUUUUGGCUGCGCGGGUAUGUGUUUGGCUGUUUGUGUUUGUGUCUGUGUGUGUGUGUCUGUGUGUGUGUGUGUGUGUGUGUGCGUGUGCGUGUUUUUGUGUGUGCGUGUGCGUGUGCGUGUGUGUGUGUGCUAAGGGGUCAAGGACGAUCUUUCCUGCACAAACAAUGACAGGAUCUUUUUUUCCAGUACGGACACGCAUCCACGUCAUACGUUAACAUACACAUGCAUGUACGUUAACAUACACAUGCAGUCUCACACACACCCCGACAGAAACACACACACACAAACAAGAAACAGACAGACAUGCACGCACACAGACACAAUGGUGUGGUUCAACAAAGAUACAUGACAUGAAAAAGCACUCGUAUGUAAACGACGUCCAGCACUGAACUCACAUGCACACACAGACCCGCACACAUACGCACACACACACAAACACACACACAAACACACACUUUAUUGGCAGGAAAACACAAGCUGCUCGACCAAAUUGGAAUCAGUUUCCUGAGUCGUCCGACAGACAGAACAUCAUCCCAUCACCUCCUCACUAUCAAUCCCUCCUUGUUUACUCCACACACACACGCAGCGCACAUGCACACACACACACUCAAACUAACGCACACAUGAACACCCACACUCACACCCAGUCUAAAUGUGUGCUGCUUGAUAGCUUGUACUUCCAGAGGAAACAGAGGGUCAAACAGCCCAUGUGUUUCCUGUCCUCCGGACCCACCAGGCCUACCCCAGAACUUCCUCUGGCCACUGUCGUUCAAUCAGAGGCCGUCUUUGUGGCUAAUGACGAGAGCCAUAUGUCACAACCCUAUUGGAGUCAGCCCUGGUUGUCACACAAUCCAUCCUGUGUGUGUGUGUGUGUGUGUGUGUGUGUGUGUGUGUGUUUGUGUGGCGCUGGUGGAGAGAGCAAGAGGGAGUGUGGUUGUCCUAUUGGCUCUCACAGGUAACUGAUAUUUCACUUUGUAAUCAACUGCUUUGUACUACUUUGUUCUUCUACCUUUGUCUCAUUUUUUUGGUCUGAGAGAAAAUAGGACGAAGCAAAAAGUCUGAGAGAGAGAGAGAGAGAGAGAGAGAGAGAGAGAGAGAGAGAGAGAGAGAGAGAGAG
ensembl:lncRNA